rnacentral:rRNA from 1 species
GCCUCUUGUAUAAUAAAAAUAAGAGGUCCCGCCUGCCCUGUGACACUAGUUUAACGGCCGCGGUACUUUGACCGUGCGAAGGUAGCGCAAUCACUUGUCUUUUAAAUGAAGACCUGUAUGAAUGGCAUAACGAGGGCUUAACUGUCUCCUUUUUCUAAUCAAUAAAAUUGAUCUCCCCGUGCAGAAGCGGGGAUGUACCCAUAAGACGAGAAGACCCUGUGGAGCUUAAGACAACAGACAGACCAUGUUGAUAAACCUAACCUAAAUAGAAUAAACUAAUUGAUUACUGUCUUACAUCUUUGGUUGGGGUGACCGAGGGAUAACAAAAAACUCCCACGUAGAAAGAGAGCAUCCUCUCACAACCCAGAGUGACAACUCCAAGUAACAGAACUUCUGACUAACAAUGAUCCGGCAAUGCUGAUCAACGAACCCAGUUACCCCAGGGAUAACAGCGCAAUCCCCUCCAAGAGCCCUUAUCAACGAGGGGGUUUACGACCUCGAUGUUGGAUCAGGACAUCCUAAUGGUGCAGCCGCUAUUAAGGUUCGUUUGUUCAACGAUUAA